ACUUUUAGGGCCUGAUUCUAAGUCCAUUGAAGUCAAUGGAAACCUUUCGACUGGCUUCAACAGAGUUUGGAUCAGGCCCACUAAGA
rnacentral:pre_miRNA from 1 species